CAGGUACGUUAAUAGCGUGCUUGUUUGACGUUAGCUGCAGAAGAAGCACCGGCUAACUCCGUGCCAGCAGCCGCGGUAAUACGGAGGGUGCGAGCGUUAAUCGGAAUUACUGGGCGUAAAGCGCAUGCAGGUGGUUUGUUAAGUCAGAUGUGAAAGCCCGGGGCGUCAACCUCGGAAUUGCAUUUGAAACUGGCAGACUAGAGUACUGUAGAGGGGGUAGAAUUUCAGGUGUAGCGGUGAAAUGCGUAGAGAUCUGAAGGAAUACCGGUGGCGAAGGCGGCCCCCUCGGACAGAUACUGACACUCAGAUGCGAAAGCGUGGGGAGCAAACAGGAUUAGAUACCCUGGUAG
rnacentral:rRNA from 1 species